rnacentral:rRNA from 1 species
GGACUACCGGGGUUUCUAAUCCUGUUUGCUCCCCACGCUUUCGUGCCUCAGCGUCAGUUUCUGUCCAGCAAGGCGCCUUCGCCACUGGUAUUCCUCCACAUAUCUACGCAUUUCACCGCUACACGUGGAAUUCCCCUUGCCUCUCCAGCACUCAAGUUAUACAGUUUCCAAGGCAUUGCCAGAGUUGAGCCCUGGUCUUUCACCUCAGACUUGCACAACCGCCUACGCACGCUUUACGCCCAGUGAUUCCGGACAACGCUUGCCCCCUACGUAUUACCGCGGCUGCUGGCAC